UACGUAGGCGGUUAUUCAAGUCAGAGGUGAAAGCCUGGAGCUCAACUCCAGAACUGCCUUUGAAACUAGAUAACUAGAAUCUUGGAGAGGUUAGUGGAAUUCCGAGUGUAGAGGUGAAAUUCGUAGAUAUUCGGAAGAACACCAGUGGCGAAGGCGACUAACUGGACAAGUAUUGACGCUGAGGUACGAAAGCGUGGGGAGCAAACA
rnacentral:rRNA from 1 species